GUUUAUUAAGCUGGGGGUGAAAUCUCCGGGCUCAACCCGGAGCCCGUUCUCAAAACUGGUAGACUUGAGUAAGGUAGAGGCUGACGGAAUUCUGCAAGUAGGGGUAAAAUCCGUUGAUCUGCAGAGGAACACCAAAAGCGAAGGCAGUCAGCUGGGCCUUUACUGACGCUGAGGGACGAAAGCGUGGGUAGCGAACGGGAUUAGAUACCCCGGUAGUCCACGCCGUAAAUGAUGGAUACUGGACAUUGGUACUCGAUCGUAUCAGUGUCUCAAGCUAACGCAUUAAGUAUCCCGCCUGGGGAGUACGGUCGCAAGAUUAAAACUCAAAGGAAUAGACGGGGACCCACACAAGCGGUGGAGCAUGUGGUUUAAUUCGACAAUAAGCGAGGAACCUUACCAGGGCUUGACAUCCCGAGAAUUCUUUAGAAAUAGAGAAGUGCCUUUAUGGAACUCGGUGACAGGUGCUGCAUGGUUGUCGUCAGCUCGUGCCUUGAGGUGUUCGGUUAAGUCCGUAAACGAGCGCAACCCUAGUCCUAUGUUGUAUAUUUCAUAGGAGACUGCCUUGUCCAACGAGGAGGAAGGUUAGGAUGACGUCAAAUCAGCAUGGCCCUUAUGUCCUGGGCGACACACGUGCUACAAUGGUCGGUACAAUCAGGUAGCCAACCCGUGAGGGGGAGCCAAUCCCAUCAAAGCCGGUCCAAGUUCGGAUUGGAGGCUGCAACUCGCCUCCAUGAAGUUGGAAUCGCUAGUAAUCGCGCAUCAGCCAUGGC
rnacentral:rRNA from 1 species